rnacentral:rRNA from 1 species
AUGGGUGAGAAAGUAUGUCAAGAAUAUGAGCUACUUGCAGCGACAAGCACUGCACACUCGACACCUUCUAGUCAAGGCAAUACCACUAUUGGAUCACCUAUUGCAGUGAAAAGAAAGCUGGAAGAAGAGUUUGCCCAGCACAAGUCUCGUCGGAGGUCACGUGUACACAAAUCAGAACUUGACAGAUACUUGGAAGAAGCGAGGGAGCAGGAUUGUGCUGACUUUGAUGUCUUGGGUUGGUGGAAGAGGCAUGCUGAAAAGUUUCCUAUAUUGGCAUCGAUGGCCCGUGACUUUCUCGCAAUUCCUUUGAGCACAGUGGCAUCCGAAUCAGCUUCAGUUGUGGUAAGAGGAUACUAG